ACGGAGGGUGCAAGCGUUAUCCGGAAUCAUUGGGUUUAAAGGGUCCGCAGGCGGUCUUAUAAGUCAGUGGUGAAAGCCUACAGCUCAACUGUAGAACUGCCAUUGAUACUGUAAGACUUGAAUUCGAUCGAAGUGGGCGGAAUAUGACAUGUAGCGGUGAAAUGCUUAGAUAUGUCAUAGAACACCGAUAGCGAAGGCAGCUCACUAGGUCUGGAUUGACGCUCAGGGACGAAAGCGUGGGGAGCAAACAGGAUUAGAAACCCCAGUAGUCC
rnacentral:rRNA from 1 species